GAAACUUAAAGGAAUUGGCGGGGGAGCACCACAACGGGUGGAGCUUGCGGUUUAAUUGGAUUCAACGCCGGAAAUCUUACCGGGACCGACAGCAAUAUGAAGGCCAGGCUGAAGACUUUGCCGGAUUAGCUGAGAGGUGGUGCAUGGCCGUCGUCAGUUCGUACUGUGAAGCAUCCUGUUAAGUCAGGCAACGAGCGAGACCCACGCCCACAGUUGCCAGCGUACUCUCUGGAGUGACGGGUACACUGUGGGGACCGCCGCUGCUAAAGCGGAGGAAGGAAUGGGCAACGGUAGGUCAGUAUGCCCCGAAUAUCCCGGGCUACACGCGAGCUACAAUGGUUGGUACAAUGGGUAUCUACCCCGAAAGGGGAUGGUAAUCUCCUAAAGCCAAUCUUAGUCCGGAUUGAGGGCUGCAACUCGCCCUCAUGAAGCUGGAAUCCGUAGUAAUCGCGUUUCAACAGAACGCGGUGAAUACGUCCCUGCUCCUUGCACACACCGCCCGUCAAACCACCCGAGUAGGGUCUGAAUGAGAGCGCUUCCUUUGGAGGCGUUCGAAUUUGGGCUUUGCAAGGGGGGUUAAGUCGUAACAA
rnacentral:rRNA from 1 species